AGAACUUAACACCAGGUAAUGUGUGGCCCUUAAUUUAAAACACAGCCAGAGAGAGUGAAGCAGCAGCAGCAGGUCCCACUCCAGCUUAUGUGACACAAGGCUCUGAACAAGAACGCAGAAUGGUGGAGCAUCCAAAAUCACACAGGGCACAGGUACCAUCCGCCUUCACCAGCACGUUGGAGCUGCUGAGGUCUCUGUGGGCCACAGGAGGCAACUUCUCCAUUGAGCAGCAACGAUCCAGAAACACAUAAAGAGCAAAAUCCCAACCAGAGGUUUCACAGCCUUUUUCAUGAAGACGACUAAAAAGGGGAGAAAAAAGGAUUAGUUGCCAGUUGAAUUCUGAAUGAAUGAUCAUAUCUAUCGCACAUGCGAAUGGGUGAAGAAUUAAAGGAAAAACACAACAAUUUGAGCUAGAGAUCUUUGUAAUGGUGUGUGAGCCAUUUUGCUGGCAUGGUGAUGGCUAACUGUUCCAGAUACUGACAAAUCAAUGCCAAAUGUUGGGUGUCUGGUAAUGUUACACUUAAUGUUGAUUUUUCCUUAAAUUUGUCAACCACCUGAAUAUAUAUUCAGUAUAACAAGAGCCUAACAAGAAAAAGAUCUUUGGUUUGAUUCCCCGAGGGGCACAAAUUCCUUUGGGGUUGCCUCGGGAAGCACAUA